rfam:Myxococcales bacterium 68-20 scnpilot_expt_750_bf_scaffold_163, whole genome shotgun sequence.
GGCCCCUUAGCUCAGCUGGAUAGAGCAAGUUAUUUCUAAUGACUCGGUCGCUGGUUCGAAUCCAGCAGGGGCUG